AAGCAUCAGGUAACAUCAAAUCGUACCCCAAACCGACACAGGUGGUCAGGUAGAGAAUACCAAGGCGCUUGAGAGAACUCGGGUGAAGGAACUAGGCAAAAUGGUGCCGUAACUUCGGGAGAAGGCACGCUGAUAUGUAGGUGAAGACCCUCGCGGAUGGAGCUGAAAUCAGUCGAAGAUACCAGCUGGCUGCAACUGUUUAUUAAAAACACAGCACUGUGCAAACACGAAAGUGGACGUAUACGGUGUGACGCCUGCCCGGUGCCGGAAGGUUAAUUGAUGGGGUCAGCGCA
rnacentral:rRNA from 1 species